rnacentral:rRNA from 1 species
GACGAACGCUGGCGGCGUGGAUUAGGCAUGCAAGUCGAACGGUAUCAUCCUUUCGGGGGUGAGAGAGUGGCGAACUGGUGAGUAACACGUAGGUUAUCUACCCUCAAGACGGGGACAACCCAGGGAAACUUGGGCUAAUACCGGAUGUGAGCAACUUUUAGUUGUUUGAAAGGUGGCGUAAGCUGUCGCUUGGGGAUGAGCCUGCGUCCUAUUAGUUAGUUGGUGAGGUAACGGCUCACCUAGGCAAUGAUAGGUAGGCGGCCUUAACGGGUGGUCGCCCACACUGGGAUUGAGAUACGGCCCAGACUCCUACGGGAGGCAGCAGUCGAGAAUAGUCUACAAUGGCCGAAAGGCUGAUAGUGCGACGCCGCGUGAACGAGAAGCCCUUCGGGGUGUAAAGUUCUUUUAUAUGUGAGCAGUGCUUUCUAUGUGAACAGCAUGGGGAAGAGAUAUUAGCAUAUGAAUAAGCAACGGCUAACUCCGUGCCAGCAGCCGCGGU